GUGGGGAAUAUUGGACAAUGGGCGCAAGCCUGAUCCAGCCAUGCCGCGUGAGUGAUGAAGGCCUUAGGGUUGUAAAGCUCUUUCAGUGGGGACGAUAAUGACGGUACCCACAGAAGAAGCCCCGGCUAACUUCGUGCCAGCAGCCGCGGUAAUACGAAGGGGGCUAGCGUUGUUCGGAAUUACUGGGCGUAAAGCGCACGUAGGCGGACAUUUAAGUCAGGGGUGAAAUCCCGGGGCUCAACCCCGGAACUGCCUUUGAUACUGGGUGUCUGGAGUAUGGAAGAGGUAAGUGGAAUUCCGAGUGUAGAGGUGAAAUUCGUAGAUAUUCGGAGGAACACCAGUGGCGAAGGCGGCUUACUGGUCCAUUACUGACGCUGAGGUGCGAAAGCGUGGGGAGCAAACAGGAUUAGAAACCCUGGUAGUCC
rnacentral:rRNA from 1 species